CCUACGGGAGGCAGCAGUGAGGAAUAUUGGUCAAUGGGCGGAAGCCUGAACCAGCCAAGUCGCGUGAGGGAAGACGGUCCUAUGGGUUGUAAACCUCUUUAGGCGGGGAGCAAUGCCGAGCACGCGUGCCCGGAGGGAGCGUACCCGCAGAAUAAGCAUCGGCUAACUCCGUGCCAGCAGCCGCGGUAAUACGGAGGAUGCGAGCGUUAUCCGGAUUUAUUGGGUUUAAAGGGUGCGUAGGCGGGAUUUCAGGUCGGUGGUUAAAUGGCGGGGCUUCACCCCGCCGUGCCGUUGGUACCGGGGGCGUUGAGUACCGGAGAAGUACGCGGAAUGCGUGGUGUAGCGGUGAAAUGCAUAGAUAUCACGCAGAACCGCGAUUGCGAGGGCAGCGUACCGGCCGGUCACUGACGCUGAGGCACGAAAGCGCGGGUAUCGAACAGGAGUAGAUACCCUAGUAGUC
rnacentral:rRNA from 1 species